rnacentral:rRNA from 1 species
UGAAUACGAGACGCUAAGGCGUCGAAGUAGUGUAUGUCAUACUUCCAAGAAAAGCUUGCACUGUCAUAGAUAAAAAACGCCUGUACCAUAACCGACACAGGUGGGUAGGUAGAGUAUACUAAGGGGCGCGAGAUAACUCUCUCUAAGGAACUCGGCAAAAUAACUCCGUAACUUCGGGAGAAGGAGUGCCUUAUUCGUAAGGUUGAAAUAACAAGAUCCAAGCGACUGUUUAUCAAAAACACAGGUCUCCGCUAAGUCGUAAGACGAUGUAUGGGGGCUGACGCCUGCCUAGUGCCAGAAGGUUAAAGAAGUUGGUUAGCAAUUGCGAAGCUGAUAACUGAAGCCCUGGUGAACGGCGGCCGUAACUAUAACGGUCCUAAGGUAGCGAAAUUCCUUGUCGGGUAAGUUCCGACCCGCACGAAAGGCGUAAUGAUUUGGAUACUGUCUCGGAGAGGGGCUCGGUGAAAUAGACUUGUCUGUGAAGAUGCGGACUACCUGCACCAGGACAGAAAGACCCUAUGAAGCUUUACUGUAACUUGAAAUUGAAAUUGGACUUUAUUCGCGCAGCAUAGGUGGGAGGCGUUGAUUAUAAUCUUGCGGGAUUAUUGGAGCCAUCAGUGAGAUACCACUCUUGUAAUGUUAGAUUUCUAACUUUGAAUCAUUAUCUGGUCAAAGAACAGUUUCAGGCGGGCAGUUUGACUGGGGCGGUCGCCUCCUAAGCGGUAACGGAGGCGUACAAAGGUUUCCUCUGAACGGUUAGAAAUCGUAUCUAGAGUGUAAAGGCAUAAGGAAGCUUGACUGUGAGACCUACAAGUCGAGCAGGGACGAAAGUCGGUCUUAGUGAUCUGACGGUACUGAAUGGAAAGGCCGUCACUCAACGGAUAAAAGUUACUCUAGGAUAACAGGCUGAUCUCCCCCAAGAGUUCACAUCGACGGGGAGGUUUGGCACCUCGAUGUCGGCUCAUCGCAUCCUGGGGCGGUAGUACGUCCCAAGGGUUGGGCUGUUCGCCCAUGAAAGCGGUACGCGAGCUGGGUUCAGAACGUCGUGAGACAGUUCGGUCCAUAUCCGGUGUAGGCGUUAGAAUAUUGAGAGGAGCCUUCUUUAGUACGAGAGGACCGAGAAGGACAUACCUCUGGUGUACCAGUUAUCGUGCCAACGGUAAACGCUGGGUAGCUAUGUAUGGAGUGGAUAACCGCUGAAAGCAUCUAAGUGGGAAGCCCACCUCAAGAUAAGUAUUCUCAU